UAUUGUUGAGCAUGUUGGCAUUGUCCC
rnacentral:piRNA from 1 species